rnacentral:rRNA from 1 species
ACCUGACUGCUAUCGGAUUGGUACUAAGCCAUGUGAGUCAUUGUAGCAAUACAAGGCAGACGGCUCAGUAACACGUAGUCAAUCUACCCUAUGGACGGGGAUAACCUCGGGAAACUGAGGAUAAAACCCGAUAGAUCAUAGUGCCUGGAACGGCUUAUGGUCCAAAUGAUUCGUCGCCGUAGGAUGGGACUGCGGCCUAUCAGCUUGUUGGUGAGGUAAUGGCCCACCAAGGCUAUUACAGGUACGGGCUCUGAGAGGAGAAGCCCGGAGAUGGGUACUGAGACACGGACCCAGGCCCUAUGGGGCGCAGCAGGCGAGAAACCUUUGCAAUGUGCGCAAGCACGACAAGGUUAAUCCGAGUGUUUCCUGCUAAAGGAAUCUUUUGUUAGUUUUAAAGCUGGCUAGUGAAUAAGGGGUGGGCAAGUUCUGGCGUCAGCCGCCGCGGUAAAACCAGCACCUCAAGUGGUCAGGAGGAUUAUUGGGCCUAAAGCAUCCGUAGCCUGUUCUGUAAGUUUCCGGUUAAAUCCAUUAGCUCAACUAAUGGGCUGCCGAAAAUACUGCAGAACUAGGGAGUGGGAGAGGUAGACGGUACUCGGUAGGAAGGGGUAAAAUCCUUUGAUCUAUUGAUGACCACCUGUGGCGAAGGCGGUCUACCAGAACACGUUCGACGGUGAGGGAUGAAAGCUGGGGGAGCAAACCGGAUUAGAUACCCGGGUAGUCCCAGCUGUAAACGAUGCAGACUCGGUGAUGCGCUGGCUUGUGGCCAGUGCAGUGCCGCAGGGAAGCCGUUAAGUUUGCCGCCUGGGAAGUACGUACGCAAGUAUGAAACUUAAAGGAAUUGGCGGGGGAGCACCACAAGGGGUGAAGCCUGCGGUUC